rnacentral:rRNA from 1 species
AACGAACGCUGGCGGCAGGCCUAACACAUGCAAGUCGAGCGCCCUUUCGGGGGAGCGGCGGACGGGUGAGUAACGCGUGGGAAUAUGCCCUUCUCUACGGAAUAGCCUCGGGAAACUGAGAGUAAUACCGUAUACGCCCUGUGGGGGAAAGAUUUAUCGGGGAAGGAUUAGCCCGCGUUGGAUUAGGUAGUUGGUGGGGUAAUGGCCUACCAAGCCGACGAUCCAUAGCUGGGUUGAGAGGAUGAUCAGCCACACUGGGACUGAGACACGGCCCAGACUCCUACGGGAGGCAGCAGUGGGGAAUCUUAGACAAUGGGGGCAACCCUGAUCGAGCCAUGCCGCGUGAGUGAUGAAGGCCUUAGGGUUGUAAAGCUCUUUCAGCUGGGAAGAUAAUGACGGUACCAGCAGAAGAAGCCCCGGCUAACUCCGUG